rnacentral:rRNA from 1 species
UGAGGAAUAUUGGUCAAUGGACGCAAGUCUGAACCAGCCAUGCCGCGUGCAGGAUGACGGCUCUAUGAGUUGUAAACUGCUUUUGUACGAGGGUAAACGCAGAUACGUGUAUCUGUCUGAAAGUAUCGUACGAAUAAGGAUCGGCUAACUCCGUGCCAGCAGCCGCGGUAAUACGGAGGAUUCAAGCGUUAUCCGGAUUUAUUGGGUUUAAAGGGUGCGUAGGCGGUUUGAUAAGUUAGAGGUGAAAUUUCGGGGCUCAACCCUGAACGUGCCUCUAAUACUGUUGAGCUAGAGAGUAGUUGCGGUAGGCGGAAUGUAUGGUGUAGCGGUGAAAUGCUUAGAGAUCAUACAGAACACCGAUUGCGAAGGCAGCUUACCAAACUAUAUCUGACGUUGAGGC